UCUGGUGGUUAUGGCGGCAGGGUCACACCCGUUCCCUUUUCGAACACGGAAGUUAAGCCUGCCUGCGCCGAUGGUACUAGGGGGAAAUUCCCCUGGGAGAGUAGGUCGCUGCCAGAA
rnacentral:rRNA from 2 species